rnacentral:rRNA from 1 species
GGUCGGGGACGAGGGUGACAGGUGGUGCAUGGUUGUCGUCAGCUCGUGUCGUGAGAUGUUGGGUUAAGUCCCGCAACGAGCGCAACCCUCGACCUUAGUUGCCAGCAUUCAGUUGGGCACUCUAAGGUGACUGCCGGACUAAAGUCGGAGGAAGUGGGGAUGACGUCAAAUCAUCAUGCCCCUUAUGACCUGGGCUACACACGUGCUACAAUGGGCGGUACAAAGGGUCGCGAGUCGGUGACGGCGAGCUAAUCUCUUAAAGCCAAUCUCAGUUCGGAUUGUAGGCUGCAACUCGCCUACAUGAAGUCGGAAUCGCUAGUAAUCGCGGAUCAGCACGCCGCGGUGAAUACGUUCCCGGGCCUU